UCCUUGGGUGGCAUGAAAGGCGCUUUUAAAUAAAAUGCAUUAUUAUUAUUAUUAUAUUUUAGCCCAUGCCAUUGGAUGCACAAAACUCAAAUAUCAGCUUCUCAACGUCAGAUCUCAACUUAACUUGUGGAGGCUUGUCGAAAGCUUAUGCUGAAGGGAUCCACAUGCCAUUAUCCCAAAUGAGUCAUAGCAGCAACAGUGUAAUGUUGCGGGGGAAAUUAUCCAAUGCAUUCUCCAGUUUUAUUGUUCAAGUGUAACUUAAUCUGGAGAAAAUUAAAGUGUGCCAAAUAGCAAGCUAAGGCCCAGAGAUGAGCAUCAAGGUGAUGGAUUCAAUAACCAUCGGUGCUCCGUGGCGGUUCUGGGGGAAGGGGGCAACGGGGGCCAGUGCCCCUGUAGCACUGAUUCUGCCCCCCCCCCCCCCCCCCGUGAACCCCCCGCCCGGCUUAGUCGGACCCUUUAGUGCGCUGCACCACUUAAAAAAUGAGCGGGAAAAUGAGAAGCAGUCCGCAGAGAAGGAAAUUACCACGAGACGAGUGCUAUUUUCGACACACCAUUUAUAUUUUCGAUGUAGAAUCACAAAACAAAACAAGCCCUCAACAGUAGCAUUAUUAAUUCAAAUUCCUCUUCACUUAAACAUUUAACAUUAAAAAUGAAAAGAAAAACGGACAUUACAUCAUAUUUCUAUAUGAAAAAGAAACUAAUUGAUCCAGACACAGAGAGAGUCAGAUGAUAAUGGUGGUGAAAGUUCUGAAGAAGAGGAAGUUGAAAGCACCAGAGAGGGAGAGUCAGAGGACAUGGGAUUCAUUUAUAUUCAGAGUGAGGACACAGAGCAGGAAAGGGAUACAAAUGAAGAUGAGAAUGAGAAGACGAGACUACAAUAAAAGUGGAGUGUGACACACAGACAGAGGAUAUUUGCGCUUCAACAAGCACUGGACCAUCAGACGUCAGUUGAUGUAAAGAGGACCGGCUAAUGCAGCCAGACCUAAAACAGUUUCCCAGGACCCUGAUGGGGGACAGGAGAAGGAGCUUCAAGGCAGGCUGGUACCAUAUCAUCCCCUGGAUUGAAUAUUCUCAACAGAUGGACAUGGCGUAUUGUUACGCUUGCAGACAUUUUUAGCCCUCCUAAUACUGUUUUUUUCUCAUCACUGUAAUGUUAUGACUACAAUGCUUUCAAAGUUUGUUGAAAUAAAAAGUCAAAUAAGA